GCUCCAUUCGUCUAGCGGCCCAGGACGGAGGGUCUUCGCCCCUCAAACACCGGUUCGAAUCCGGUAUGGAGUA
rnacentral:tRNA from 1 species